rnacentral:rRNA from 1 species
UACGUAGGGGGCAAGCGUUGUCCGGAAUUAUUGGGCGUAAAGAGCGUGUAGGCGGCCAGAUAAGUCCGCUGUGAAAUCUCGAGGCUCAACUUCGAGCUGUCGGUGGAAACUAUCUGGCUAGAGUCCGGAAGAGGAGAAUGGAAUUCCUGGUGUAGCGGUGAAAUGCGCAGAUAUCAGGAAGAACACCCAUGGCGAAGGCGGUUCUCUGGGACGGUACUGACGCUGAGACGCGAAAGCGUGGGGAGCGAACAGG